UUGUGUUAGGAUACUUUCAUUCUAUUGUUUACUGCAUUACUGUUCCCUGUGGGGAUUUUUACAGUACAUUUAAUAUCUGUUUUGGGUUCUGACAGCCCCAGCUACCCCAUUAUGGACCCCAUGCAAACCCCUGUCACUGGGGAAAGUGGCCUCACUCCCUCCCAGGAGUUCCAGGCCCUCAUUGACUCCACCAUGCAGAGGGCUCUGGCUUCGGCCAUGGGAUCAGUAUCCUCAUCCCUGUCUCACACCAUUCAGCAGGCGUUGUCCCAACCCCUGCCUCCCUCUGUGGUACCCAAUUCUCAGCCUGUGCUGCAGCCUCAGUCUGGCCGCAAAGCACAGGCUAAACGGAAACACGUCUUCCAUGAUAUGAUACAGGUGAAACCUGCCCUGACUGACGUGCCUAUGGCCGUCCAAGAUGGCGCGCUACCGCACAAGAGAGCCGCUGGCCGAGCAAAAUCGGCUGGAAAAGGGAGCGUGCCCAUGUUGAUGAUAGAUCUGACUCAAAUCAGAGUGAGGAGUCGUGCUCGGAUGCCCAUAAGUACACCUCUUAUGAGGAAGGGGGCUCCGAUGCUGAGGCGGGGUCUGACGCUUCGGCACUACCUCCGGGCGAG